UACAGAGGGGGCAAGCGUUGUUCGGAAUUACUGGGCGUAAAGGGCGCGUAGGUGGCCUUCUAAGUUGAACGUGAAAUCCCUGGGCUCAACCCAGGAACUGCGUCCAAGACUGGGAGGCUUGAAUCCGGGAGAGGGAUGCGGAAUUCCAGGUGUAGCGGUGAAAUGCGUAGAUAUCUGGAGGAACACCGGUGGCGAAGGCGGCUCACUGGCCCGAUACUGACGCUGAGGUGCGAAAGCGUGGGGAGCAAACGGG
rnacentral:rRNA from 1 species